GAAAGCAGGUACUAGUUGCAGCAGACUUGGCACUGGAGGAAGCAGGUUAGACUUUAGUGGGAGCAGCCUGGGUGGGGCACGCAGCAGGUUAGACUGUAGUGGGAGCAGCCUGGGUGGGGCACGCAGCAGGUUGGACUGUAGUGGGAGCAGCCUGGGUGGGGCACGCAGCAGGUUAGACUGUAGUGGGAGGAGCCUGGUGGGGCUGGCAUCAGAGAAGUCAGUAGUGGUGGUGGUGAAGUCAUCCAGAACACUACCAACUGUGGGGUCCAUUGCAUAGUCCUCAAAAUCAGUCUCCUCCGACUCAGGGCCCAUAGCCUGCAUGGCCUUCCCAGUCUGCCUGAGCAGGUAGUCCACACACCAAUCAACUCUC
rnacentral:lncRNA from 1 species